rnacentral:rRNA from 1 species
GACGAACGCUGGCGGCGUGCUUAACACAUGCAAGUCGAACGGAAAGGCCCUGCUUUUGUGGGGUGCUCGAGUGGCGAACGGGUGAGUAACACGUGAGUAACCUGCCCUUGACUUUGGGAUAACUUCAGGAAACUGGGGCUAAUACCGGAUAGGAGCUCCUGCUGCAUGGUGGGGGUUGGAAAGUUUCGGCGGUUGGGGAUGGACUCGCGGCUUAUCAGCUUGUUGGUGGGGUAGUGGCUUACCAAGGCUUUGACGGGUAGCCGGCCUGAGAGGGUGACCGGCCACAUUGGGACUGAGAUACGGCCCAGACGCCAACGGGAGGCAGCAGUGGGGAAUAUUGCACAGUGGGCGGAAGCCUGAUGCAGCAACGCCGCGUGCGGGAUGACGGCCUUCGGGUUGUAAACCGCUUUCGCCUGUGACGAAGCGUGAGUGACGGUAAUGGGUAAAGAAGCACCGGCUAACUACGUG